GACGAACGCUGGCGGCGUGCCUAAUACAUGCAAGUCGAACGCAUUUUCUUUCACCGUAGCUUGCUACACCGAAAGAAAAUGAGUGGCGAACGGGUGAGUAACACGUGGGUAACCUGCCCAUCAGCGGGGGAUAACACUUGGAAACAGGUGCUAAUACCGCAUAAUUCCAUUUACCGCAUGGUAAAUGGAUGAAAGGCGCUUUUGCGUCACUGAUGGAUGGACCCGCGGUGCAUUAGCUAGUUGGUGGGGUAACGGCCUACCAAAGCUGCGAUUCAUAACCGACCUGAGGGGGUGAUCGGCCACACUGGGACUGAGACACGGCCCAGACUCCGACGGGAGGCAGCAGUAGGGAAUCUUCCGCAAUGGACGAAAGUCUGACGGAGCAACGCCGCGUGAGUGAAGAAGGUUUUCGGAUCGUAAAACUCUGUUGUUAGGGAAGAACAAGUACCACAGUAACUGAUGGUACCUUGACGGUACCUAACCAGAAAGCCACGGCUAACUACGUGCCAGCCGCCGCGGUAACAC
rnacentral:rRNA from 1 species